rnacentral:rRNA from 1 species
CCUACGGGGGGCAGCAGUGAGGAAUAUUGGUCAAUGGGCGCAAGCCUGAACCAGCCAUCCCGCGUGCAGGAUGACGGCCCUAUGGGUUGUAAACUGCUUUUAUACAGGAAGAAAAAUCUCUACGUGUAGGGACUUGCCGGUACUGUAUGAAUAAGCAUCGGCUAACUCCGUGCCAGCAGCCGCGGUAAUACGGAGGAUGCAAGCGUUAUCCGGAUUCAUUGGGUUUAAAGGGUGUGUAGGAGGCUGUUUUGAAAUCCUGUCGCUCAACGAUAGAAUUGCCAUUGAUACUGAAAAGCUUGAGUUCAGUUGAGGUAAGCGGAAUGUGUAGUGUAGCGGUGAAAUGCUUAGAUAUUACACAGAACACCGAUUGCGAAGGCAGCUUACUAAACUGACACUGACGCUGAUGCACGAAAGCGUGGGGAUCGAACAGGAUUAGAUACCCUAGUAGUC